GUGGCGUAGUUCAGCUGUUAUUCGAUGGAAUACACGACAAGAGCAGACGCCGGAUGUUGAGAGUAUUCCGGAAGUUCCUUUCUGGAAAAGCAUGAAAACGUAUUUAUCUAAGAACCAAUCAGGGCGCGGCCUCGAGGAUCUGACCCGUCUGCUCCGCCGUCGUCUGUGAAGGCGUCGGGACAUUCAAUAUGUCUGACGAGCGAAAGUGAUCUGCUGUCGCUGUCCAGCGAUUUCCUCGAGGACAGAGCCCCUAACAAGCAAGCAAGCAGUGAAGCAGUAAUAGUGAACGACGAUCCCUAUCCUGUGUAUCCGUUGUCACGACACUGGGCUAGCGACACAGACGAAGCUGAUCGCGACUACCCGCAGCACGACGAUUUCAGGUAGAAAACCUUGCGAUCGACGAUCACUGCGUUCGUCAAUUUCGAUCUAGUGCUUCACCAAUGCCCACUUCAAAAACAACAGGUGCAUCUGCGAGCAAUCAUCAAGAGCCGGACGAGUAUUUGUGUUGCCGUGCGGUGCUUGGAGGGAAUUGCUGGCUCUAAAUGCUUCUGGAUCCAACAGAAAACAGCAGGGUCUGGGGCUACCCUAGCCCAAGAAAUAGCUGGCACAUACCUGGAUGAGCUGUUUGGGCAAUCACAAGACACUUUCAAUCGCCAUCAUAUGCAGGAUACCACAGAUUGCAGCAACAUAUUCCGUUUACACGUUCCGAUUUCCCUUAUUCUGCAUACCAAAGCUUUUGUAUUUGAUGUUCCUUGCCAGAUCUGUUGUGAACUUUGUAUUUUUUGCGCAGUGUAAUACUCAGUACAGCUGAAAAAAGGCUCAUAAUCUCCAUGAGUUUCGCUACUGUCUGUAUUUAUAGGCUGUGUGAGUGUACGUGUGCUCGCACUAGUUUCAUUUCAAGGAGGUUUCUUUCAAAUAAACUGCUGCUGUUUGCACCCUUUU